UCCUUCCUACGGGGCGCAGCAGUGGGGAAUAUUGGACAAUGGGGGGAACCCUGAUCCAGCGACGCCGCGUGAGUGAAGAAGUAUUUCGGUAUGUAAAGCUCUAUCAGCAGGGAAGAAAAUGACGGUACCUGACUAAGAAGCCCCGGCUAACUACGUGCCAGCAGCCGCGGUAAUACGUAGGGGGCAAGCGUUAUCCGGAUUUAUUGGGCGUAAAGGGAGCGUAGACGGCGAAGAAAGUCUGAAGUGAAAGCCCGCGGCUCAACCGCGGAAUGGCUUUGGAAACUUUUUUGCUGGAGUACCGGAGG
rnacentral:rRNA from 1 species